UUUUACGGCACUAGCCAAUGG
rnacentral:piRNA from 1 species